rnacentral:lncRNA from 1 species
UUUUUCAUUUUAUAUUACAAAGCAUUGUAAAUUACAAAAAAAAAAUUAUAUUACAUUUAAAUUAACAUUUGCCUUAAGUUCCAUAUAAGUUAUUACAAAAAUUAAAAAAAAAACAGUUACAAGAAACAAAGUUUUAUCUUGUCCUUUGAAGGGUCCCUUUCCACCAACCUUGUCCUUUUAUCCUGCAAAUUUCAGAACAACAACUUAACAUAUUU